rnacentral:rRNA from 1 species
AGAGUUUGAUCCUGGCUCAGAACGAACGCUGGCGGCGUGCUUAACACAUGCAAGUCGUACGAGAAAUCCUGGGUAACUGGGAAAGUAAAGUGGCGCAAGGGUGAGUAGCGCGUGGGUAACCUACCCUUGGACUUGGGAUAACUCCGCGAAAGCGGGGUUAAUACCGAAUGAUAUUCCGAUUUCUAAGGGGAUCGGAAUCAAAGGUGGCCUCUGCAUGCAAGCUAUUGUCUAAGGAUGGGCCCGCGUACCAUUAGCUAGUUGGUAGGGUAAUGGCCUACCAAGGCAACGAUGGUUAGCUGGUCUUAAAGGAUGGCCAGCCACACUGGAACUGAGACACAGUCCAGACUCCUACGGGAGGCAGCAAUGGGGAAUCUUGCGCAAUGGGGGAAACCUUGACCCACCAACGCCUCGUGGGUGAUGAAGGCCUUCGGGUCGUAAAGCCCUGUCAGGUGGGAAGAAACAUAUUGGUGCUAAUAUCACCGAUGUUUGACGGUACCGCCGGAGGAAGCACCGGCUAACUCCGUGCCAGCAGCCGCGGUAAUACGGAGGGUGCAAGCGUUGUUCGGAAUUACUGGGCGUAAAGCGCGUGUAGGCGGUCGGACAAGUCAGAUGUGAAAGCCUUCCGCUUAACGGAAGAAGUGCAUUUGAAACUACCCGGCUGGAGUACGGGAGAGGAGAGUGGAAUUCCCGGUGUAGAGGUGAAAUUCGUAGAUAUCGGGAGGAACACCAGUGGCGAAGGCGGCUCUCUGGUCCGAUACUGACGCUGAGACGCGAAAGCGUGGGGAGCAAACAGGAUUAGAUACCCUGGUAGUCCACGCCGUAAACUAUGGGCACUAGGUGUAGGAGGUAUUGACCCCUUCUGUGCCGAAGUUAACGCAUUAAGUGCCCCGCCUGGGGAGUACGGCCGCAAGGCUAAAACUCAAA